AACGAACGCUGGCGGCAUGCCUAACACAUGCAAGUCGAACGAGACCUUCGGGUCUAGUGGCGCACGGGUGCGUAACGCGUGGGAACCUGCCCUUAGGUUCGGAAUAACUCCCCGAAAGGGGUGCUAAUACCGGAUAAUGUCUUCGGACCAAAGAUUUAUCGCCUUUGGAUGGGCCCGCGUUGGAUUAGCUAGUUGGUAGGGUAAAAGCCUACCAAGGCGACGAUCCAUAGCUGGUCUGAGAGGAUGAUCAGCCACACUGGGACUGAGACACGGCCCAGACUCCUACGGGAGGCAGCAGUGGGGAAUAUUGGACAAUGGGCGAAAGCCUGAUCCAGCAAUGCCGCGUGAGUGAUGAAGGCCUUAGGGUUGUAAAGCUCUUUUACCCGGGAUGGUAAUGACAGUACCGGGAGAAUAAGCUCCGGCUAACUCCGU
rnacentral:rRNA from 1 species